CCUACGGGGGGCAGCAGUGGGGAAUAUUGGACAAUGGGGGCAACCCUGAUCCAGCCAUGCCGCGUGUGUGAAGAAGGCCCUCGGGUUGUAAAGCACUUUCAGUGAGGAAGAACGCCUGGUGGUUAAUACCCAUCAGGAAAGACAUCACUCACAGAAGAAGCACCGGCUAACUCCGUGCCAGCAGCCGCGGUAAUACGGAGGGUGCGAGCGUUAAUCGGAAUUACUGGGCGUAAAGCGCGCGUAGGUGGCUUGAUAAGCCGGUUGUGAAAGCCCCGGGCUCAACCUGGGAACGGCAUCCGGAACUGUCAAGCUAGAGUGCAGGAGAGGAAGGUAGAAUUCCCGGUGUAGCGGUGAAAUGCGUAGAGAUCGGGAGGAAUACCAGUGGCGAAGGCGGCCUUCUGGACUGACACUGACACUGAGGUGCGAAAGCGUGGGUAGCAAACAGGAUUAGAUACCCGAGUAGUU
rnacentral:rRNA from 1 species